AACGUAGGAUCCGAGCGUUGUCCGGAAUCACUGGGUGUAAAGGGUGCGUAGGCGGGCUUUCGCGUCAAGGGUUAAAGACCACGGCUCAACCGAGGGAAUGCGCUUGAUACGGGAGGGCUUGAGGGCGGGUGAGGAUGGUGGAAUUCUGGGUGUAGGGGUGAAAUGCGUAGAGAUUGGGAGGAACGCCAGAGGCGAAGGCAGCCUUCUGGACCGCCACUGACGCUGAGGCACGAAAGCGUGGGGAGCAAACAGG
rnacentral:rRNA from 1 species